CUACGGGUCGCUCCAGUAGGGAAUAUUGCGCAAUGGGCGAAAGCCUGACGCAGCGACGCCGCGUGAGUGAUGAAGGUCCUCUGGAUUGUAAAGCUCUGUAAGGAGGGAAGAACCGCCUGGUGUAACGGCCAGGUCUGACGGUACCUCCAAAGUAAGCACCGGCUAAAUAAGUGCCAGCAGCCGCGGUAAUACUUAUGGUGCGAGCGUUGUCCGGAAUGACUGGGCGUAAAGGGUGCGUAGGCGGACUUUCAAGUCAGGUGUAAAAUCCCCGGGCUUAACCUGGGAACUACACUUAAAACUAAAAGUCGAGAGUAUGUGAGGGGUUAGCGGAAUUCCCGGAGUAGCGGUGAAAUGCGUAGAGAUCGGGAAGAACACCGGUGGCGAAGGCGGCUAACUGGCACAUGACUGACGCUGAGGCACGAAAGCGUGGGGAGCGAACGGGAUUAGAUACCCUGGUAGUC
rnacentral:rRNA from 1 species